ACGGGAGGCAGCAGUGGGGAAUAUUGGGCAAUGGGCGGAAGCCUGACCCAGCAACGCCGCGUGAGGGAAGAAGGUUUUCGGAUUGUAAACCUCUGUCCUUGGUGACGAAGGAAGUGACGGUAGCCAAGGAGGAAGCCCCGGCUAACUACGUGCCAGCAGCCGCGGUAAUACGUAGGUUGCAAGCGUUGUCCGGAUUUACUGGGUGUAAAGGGCGUGUAGGCGGAGCUGCAAGUCAGAUGUGAAAUCCCGGGGCUCAACCCCGGAACUGCAUUUGAAACUGUAGCCCUUGAGUAUCGGAGAGGCAAGCGGAAUUCCUAGUGUAGCGGUGAAAUGCGUAGAUAUUAGGAGGAACACCAGUGGCGAAGGCGGCUUGCUGGACGACAACUGACGCUGAGGCGCGAAAGCGUGGGGAGCAAACAGGAUUAGAUACCCUGGUA
rnacentral:rRNA from 1 species